AUUGAACGCUGGCGGCAUGCCUUACACAUGCAAGUCGAACGGCAGCACGGGGGCAACCCUGGUGGCGAGUGGCGAACGGGUGAGUAAUACAUCGGAACGUACCAUAGCGUGGGGAAUAACCAGUCGAAAGAUUGGCUAAUACCGCAUACACCUGAGGGGGAAAGCGGGGGACCGUAAGGCCUCGCGCGCGAUGAGCGGCCGAUGACUGAUUAGCUUGUUGGUGAGGUAAAGGCUUACCAAGGCGAAGGUCAGUAGCUGGACGUGGAGGACGAUAAGCCAAGCAGGGACUGGGACACGCCCCAGACACCUAGGGGAGGCAGCGGUGGGGAAUUUUGGACAAUGGGGGCAACCCUGAUCCAGCAAUGCCGCGUGUGUGAAGAAGGCCUGCGGGUUGUAAAGCACUUUUGUCUGGAAGAAAUAGCACGGGCUAAUAUCCUGUGUAAAUGACGGUACCAGAAGAAUAAGCACCGGCUAACUGCGUGCCAGCCGCCGCCGUAA
rnacentral:rRNA from 1 species